rnacentral:rRNA from 1 species
CGACGCCGCGUGAGGGAUGAAAUCCGUUAGGAUGUAAACCUCUUUUGCAGGGGAUGAAUGUCCCGACUUGUCGGGAUUGACCGUACCCUGUGAAUAAGCACCGGCCAACUACGUGCCAGCAGCCGCGGUAAUACGUAGGGUGCAAGCGUUGUCCGGAAUUACUGGGUGUAAAGGGUCCGCAGGCGGGCAAACAAGUCGGUGGUGAAAGCUCUUCGCUCAACGGAGAGACUGCCAUCGAUACUGUUUGUCUUGAGUUCGAGAGAGGAUAAUGGAAUUCAUGGUGUAGCGGUGAAAUGCGUAGAGAUCAUGAAGAACACCGGUAGCGAAGGCGGUUAUCUGGCUCGAUACUGACGCUCAGGGACGAAAGCGUGGGUAGCAAACAGGAUUAGAUACCCUGGUAGUCCACGCCUUAAACGAUGGAUAUUCGGUGUCGGUCCGCAAGGAUCGGUGCCUGAGCCAACGCGUUAAAUAUCCCACCUGGGGAGUACGAUCGCAAGGUUG